UCGUCGUCAGUGCCACGCGUUAAUUUUUAAAGCGUUUCUUCGGGAAUCCGUGAAACUGUAUAGGGAAAACAAUCGACGCGGUUGUAUAAGUAAACUUCAAAACGAUUGAAGACUGUUGUCGGGUUUAUCUUAGAAUUAGUGUAUUUCCGUCGUUCGUGAGAACUCUUAAGAGUGAAUUUUUUUUGGAACAUUUGGUGAUUUAGUGAGAAAUGGGGGUUUUGGUACGAUGAAAAAGAUAGGGCGAAUGUUGUGAACGAUAAGUGUUUAAACUAGAUAAAAGGGAGACGUCGCUUCAUUCAUUUAUCAUAUCUGUUUGUUGAAUAUCCGAACUUUUCUGAUUAUGACCAAAUCAGUGUCAUCUGUGUUUGACAAAAGUUCUGUUAGUGGAAGUGAGUGUUGCUUUCAAAAAUUCGGAUUACAUUCAGUACGGCGGUGUGAAUACAUUUAGGCUGGCGGGCCAUACGUGAUAAUGCUAGGCAGCCCUGCUGGGCCGGGCGGGCCAUCCCAGAGAGGACUUUGGCCCCUGGCCCCGGCACCGGCACCUACUGCAACUACCUUUUCAACUGAUGGUCUUGGCAAAUAUGGAGUUUAUUCGCUCUUUCCCGGUGGGCCGACUUUUGGCAGUGCGCUGUAUUCUCACGCGAGUACGAUAGGACGUUUUGCUUCUGGUCAGUUCCAGCAGUCGUCAGGAAAUACCUUUCACACUGCCC